rnacentral:lncRNA from 1 species
GACGUCUCCCUGCUCGGUGACACAGUUUCCACCCCGUCCCCAGGGAUGCUCCCGCUGUGUUUGUGACAUCCCGGCCGCCAGCUCCCCCAGGAAAGGGGAGCCCUGUGUCGCACGGCCAUGUGUCACACCACUGCUGGGGCACCUUCCACCCACACCAGCACCGGUGGGGACUGGGGGGGGGCACCCACAGACGGCCCUUCUUGUCCUGGUCCCCUCUGUGGCCACCCCGGCUCUGCCCCCAGCGCCCCCCACCCCGGGGGUCUGGGCCCCGUGGCACCACCCCGGGGCACACGGCUGGAGAGGGGCAGCCAGGGGCCAGCAUCCUCCCCGGGGGGCAAGCUCAUCCCCCCCCCGGCAGCACCCUGGGGCUGUACCCCAGGGCUGUGGCUGCUGCUGCAUCCUCCCGGGGGCCAGCACCACGAGGACCGGGCCAGUAGCCCCCGGCCGGCACGUUAUCCCGGGGCCAGCACCCCAGGAUCGGGGCAAGCACCCGGCACCGGCCAUCGCAUCCUCCCGGGGCCAGGGCAUCCUUCCAGGGGCAAGGACCCAAGGACCCCCAGGACCUCCAGGGGGCCAAUACCCCAAGACCGUGACCAGUACGUUCUCCCGUGGCCAGCGCACCCUCCUGGGGGCCAGCACCCCAGGACCGGGGCCAGCACUUUCUCCCGUGGCCAUCGCGUCCUCCCGGGGGCCAGUACCCCAGGAUCGGGGCCAGCCCCCGGGGCCACCGCAUCCUCCUACGGGCCAGUGCCUCAGGAUCGGGGCCAGCGCAUUCUCCCGGGACCAGUACGUUCUCCCGGGGCCACCGCCGUCCACCCGGGGCCAGUACCCCAGGAUGGGGGCCAGCACCCCAGGAUCGGGGGCCAGCCCCCGGGGGCCAGCGAAUCCUCCCGGGGGCCAGCACCCCCCGGGGCUGAAUCCAAGGCAUUCCGGUGCCUGCCCCUAGCACCGGGACCAGCACCCGCCCAGCCUCCCCCGGCCGCAGCCCGCGAUCUUCCCUCCCCCCCCCCCCCCCCCCCCCCCCCCCCCCCCCCCCCCCCCCCCCCCCCCCCCCCCCCCCCCCCCCCCCCCCCCCCCCCCCCCCCGCCAACCCCGCACCCCCCGGCCCGGUACCGCUCCCCCGAGCCGGGGCCCUGCCCGCAUCCCCCCGGGCCCGCUCCCCGUCGCGAUACCUGGCUGGGCUCUGCCAUGUCCCCGCCGCCGGGCGCACCCGGGCCCCGCCGCCGCCGCCCCCCGCUCCGCGCCGCGCCCUCCGCGCCGUGCGGGGCCGGGCCGGGCCGUGCGGCGCCGUGCGGGGCGGGGGGCCAGGCCCAGCAGCCUGGGAGAUGUAGUCCUCGGCCUCCCGGAGGGGCUUGUGGGACUUGUAGGAGGAGAGCCGGGACCGCCCGGCGCCCACCCGCUGCACCGGCAUCCCCGGUACCCACCUCGGUAGUCGCUCCGGUAACGGCCUCGGCACAUCCGUAUUCCCGGUACUCACCCCCUGUACCCACCCCGGCACACCGGCAUCCCCGGUAUCUACCCUGGUACCCACAACGGCAUCACCGGUAUCUACCCCGGUAUUCGCCCCCGUACCUACACCGGCACACUAGCGUCCCCGGUACCUACCCCGGUAAACGACCCUGGUGCUCACCUCGGCACACCGGCAUGUCCGGUACCUACCCCCAGUACCCACCGCGGUACCCACCCCGGCAGACCGGCAUCCCCGGUACCUACCCCCGGUACCCACCCCGGUACCCUCGAUACCCACCCCAGCACACCGGGAUCCCCGGUACCUACCCCCGGUACCCACCCCGCUACCCUCGGUACCCCCCCCGGCACACCGGCACCCCCGGUAUCUACCCCC